AGUGUGAUGAUGAGGUAGAUUACAGGUUUAGGCAGUGGUGGCCUCUUUGGUCGCCGUGAGCCAUCAAACCACAAAACGACUUCUCUUUCCACUGAGCAUU